CCAAUAGCGUAUAUUAAAGUUGUUGCAGUUAAAAAGCUCGUAGUUGAAUUUCGGGAUCAAUUAAUUGGCCAUGCCUAUGGUACGUACUGAUUUUAUUGGUUUCUCCCUUCUGACGAACCAUGAUGUCAUUAAUUUGGUGUCGUGGAGAAUCAGGACUGUUACUUUGAAAAAAUUAGAGUGUUUAAAGCAAGCUAACGCUUGAAUACAUUAGCAUGGAAUAAUGAAAUAGGACGUUUGAUCCUAUUUUUGUUGGUUUCUAGGAUCGACGUAAUGAUUAAUAGGGAUAGUUGGGGGCAUUAGUAUUCAAUUGUCAGAGGUGAAAUUCUUGGAUUUAUUGAAGACUAACUACUGCGAAAGCAUUUGCCAAGGAUGUUUUCAUUAAUCAAGAACGAAAGUUAGGGGAUCGAAGACGAUCAGAUACCGUCGUAGUCUUAACCAUAAACUAUGCCGACUAGGGAUCGGAUGAUGUUAAAUUUUUUUAAUGACUCAUUCGGCGCCUUAUG
rnacentral:rRNA from 1 species